GAUGAACGCUGGCGGCGUGCCUAAUACAUGCAAGUCGAGCGAACAGACGAGGAGCUUGCUCCUCUGACGUUAGCGGCGGACGGGUGAGUACACGGGGAUAACCUACCUAUAAAACUGGGAUAACUUUGGGAAACCGGAGCUAAUACCGGGUAAUAUAUUUAACCCCAUGGGUUAAUAGGGAAAGACGGGUUUUCUGUCACUUAUUGGUGGAUCCGCGCCUCAUUAGCUAGUUUGUAAGGUAACGGCUUACCAAGGCAACGAGGCGUAGCCAACCUGAGAGGGUGAUCGGCCACACUGGAACUGAGACACGGUCCAGACUCCUACGGGAGGCAGCAGUAGGGAAUCUUCCGCAAUGGGCGAAAGCCUGACGGAGCAACGCCGCGUGAGUGAUGAAGGUCUUCGGAUCGUAAAACUCUGUUAUUAGGGAAGAACAAAUGUGUAAGUAACUAUGCACGUCUUGACGGUACCUAAUCAGAAAGCCACGGCUAACUACGUG
rnacentral:rRNA from 1 species